rnacentral:rRNA from 1 species
UACGGAGGGGGCUAGCGUUGUUCGGAAUUACUGGGCGUAAAGCGCACGUAGGCGGCUUUGUAAGUUAGAGGUGAAAGCCCGGAGCUCAACUCCGGAACUGCCUUUAAGACUGCAUCGCUUGAACGUCGGAGAGGUAAGUGGAAUUCCGAGUGUAGAGGUGAAAUUCGUAGAUAUUCGGAAGAACACCAGUGGCGAAGGCGACUUACUGGACGACUGUUGACGCUGAGGUGCGAAAACGUGGGGAGCAAACAGG